rnacentral:rRNA from 1 species
AAUGAACGCUGGCGGCAUGCCUUACACAUGCAAGUCGAACGGCAGCAUGACCUAGCUUGCUAGGUUGAUGGCGAGUGGCGAACGGGUGAGUAAUGCAUCGGAACGUGCCUUUUAUUGGGGGAUAACGUAGCGAAAGUUACGCUAAUACCGCAUAUUCUCUGAGGAGGAAAGCAGGGGACCUUCGGGCCUUGCGCUAGAAGAGCGGCCGAUGUCGGAUUAGCUAGUUGGUGAGGUAAAGGCUCACCAAGGCAACGAUCCGUAGCGGGUCUGAGAGGAUGAUCCGCCACACUGGGACUGAGACACGGCCCAGACUCCUACGGGAGGCAGCAGUGGGGAAUUUUGGACAAUGGGCGCAAGCCUGAUCCAGCCAUGCCGCGUGAGUGAAGAAGGCCUUCGGGUUGUAAAGCUCUUUCGGCUGGGAAGAAAUCGCACCCUCUAAUACAGGGUGUGGAUGACGGUACCAGCAUAAGAAGCACCGGCUAACUACGUG